GCGCUCGUAGCUCAGUUGGAUAGAGCGGCGGUUUCCUAAACCGCAGGUCGCGCGUUCGAGUCGCGCCGGGCGCA
rnacentral:tRNA from 1 species